rnacentral:rRNA from 1 species
CGGGACUGGUGAGUAACGCGUGAGGAACCUGCCUUCCAGAGGGGGACAACAGUUAGAAAUGACUGCUAAUACCGCAUAAGCGCACUAAAACCGCAUGGGUUUGGUGUGUAAAAACUGAGGUGGUAUGAGAUGGACCCGCGUCUGAUUAGCUAGUUGGAGAGGUAACGGCUCACCAAGGCAACGAUCAGUAGCCGACCUGAGAGGGUGACCGGCCACAUUGGGACUGAGACACGGCCCAAACUCCUACGGAAGGCAGCAG